GGCCUAAUGGUCUAGUCGUAUGAUACACGCUUCGGGGUUUUCUCCGCUUGCACCCGUGAGCCUGUGUGUGGUCCCGAGUUCAAAUCUCGGUUAGGUCC